UCUUAGCCCUGAUGGAAGCGGCAUCCUCUUGUGGCUUGUUUCUUUAACAAGGCACAAGAGAUAGAGCGAACAGCGGGUGAAAAA
rnacentral:sRNA from 1 species